rnacentral:rRNA from 1 species
AGCGAACGCUGGCGGCAUGCUUAACACAUGCAAGUCGCACGGGCAGUAGCAAUACUGUCAGUGGCGGACGGGUGAGUAACGCGUAGGAAUCUAUCCUUGGAAUGGGGGGACAACCGUGGGAAACUACGGCUAAUACCGCAUGAUACCUGAGGGUCAAAGGCGCAAGUCGCCUUAGGAGGAGCCUGCGUCUGAUUAGCUUGUUGGUGGGGUAAAGGCCUACCAAGGCGACGAUCAGUAGCUGGUCUGAGAGGAUGAUCAGCCACAUUGGGACUGAGACACGGCCCAAACUCCUACGGGAGGCAGCAGUGGGGAAUAUUGGACAAUGGGCGCAAGCCUGAUCCAGCAAUGCCGCGUGGGUGAAGAAGGUCUUCGGAUUGUAAAGCCCUUUUGGCGGGGACGAUGAUGACGGUACCCGCAGAAUAAGCUCCGGCUAACUUCGUG